rnacentral:rRNA from 1 species
GACGAACGCUGGCGGCGCGCUUAACACAUGCAAGUCGAACGAUGAAGCUAGAGCUUGCUCUGUCGGAUUAGUGGCGAACGGGUGAGUGACACGUGAGAAAUCUGCCCUCAACUCCGGGAUAUCUGCCGGAAACUGUGGCUAAUACCGUAUACUUCACCUGGUAGGCAGUCACUGGGGAAGAAAGAAUUUCGUACAAGGAUGCUCGCGCGGCCUAUCAGCUUGAUGGUGAGGUAGUGGCACACCAAGGCGACGAUGGGUAGCCUGCCUGAGAGGGUGACCGGGCACACUGUGAAUGAGGCACGGCCCGGAGUGCUACGUGAGGCAGCAGUGGGGAAUAUUGCACAAUGGGCGCAAGCCUGAUGCAACAACGCCGGGUGAGGGAAGAAGGCCUUCGGGUUGUAAACCUCUUUUGGCAGGGAAGAAGCGAAAGUGACGGUACCUGCAGAGAAAGCACCGGCUAACUACGUGCCAGCCGCCGCCGUAA